rfam:Firmicutes bacterium CAG:449 genomic scaffold, scf138
UAAAAGGUCUCUUUCGAGACCUCAUAAUUUUUUAUUAAGCAGGAAUU